rnacentral:pre_miRNA from 1 species
GUAGUACUCCCUCUGUCCCAAAAUAAGUGUCGCUGAUUUAGUACAAAGUUAGUACAAUAAGUGUCGCUGAUUUAGUACAAAGUUGUAUUAACUUUACACAAAUUCAGCGAUACUUAUUUUGGGACGGAGGGAGUAUAAU